GGUCAAGCAAAUAAGAGCAUAGGGUGGAUGCCUUGGCACUAAGAGCCGAUGAAAGACGCGACAAGCUGCGAAAAGCCAUGGGGAGGAGCACAUAUCCCGUGAUCCAUGGGUAUCUGAAUGGGGAAACCCGGCGGAAUAAACUUCCGUCACUGUAUGAUGAACAAACUGUUUACAGUUAAUAGUGAUACAGAGGGAACCCGGUGAACUGAAACAUCUAAGUAACCGGAGGAAAAGAAAGAAAACUCGAUUUCCUAAGUAGCGGCGAGCGAAAGGGAAAGAGCCCAAACCGAUGUGCGUGCACAGAGGGGUUAGGACCGUAAAAUUGAUUCAACGAUUUCAACAGAAAGGUACUGGAAAGACCUGCCAGAGAGAGUGAAAGCCUCGUAAGUGAAGAGAAAGUUGACAUGACGGUAUCCAGAGUACCACGAGACACGAGAAACCUUGUGGGAACAUGCGGGGACCACCCCGUAAGGCUAAAUACUACUUAGUGACCGAUAGAGCAGAGUACUGUGAAGGAAAGGUGAAAAGGACCCCGGGAGGGGAGUGAAAGAGAACCUGAAACCCUGUGUUUACAAGCUGUGGAAGCACCAUACGAGUGCGACCGCGUACUUUUUGUAGAACGGUCCGGCGAGUUACGGAUGCAGGCAAGGUUAAGCGGUUAAGCCGCGGAGCCGAAGGGAAACCAAGUGUUAAUAGCACGCAGAUGCAGUUAAGCUGUAUCAGAAGUCUGUAUACGUAGACCCGAAACCGGGUGAUCUAUCCAUGUCCAGGUUGAAGUUGCCGUAAAAGGCAAUGGAGGACCGAACGCACAUCCGUUGAAAAGGGUGGCGAUGAGGUGUGGAUAGGGGAGAAAUUCCAAUCGAACCCGGAGAUAGCUGGUUCUCCCCGAAAUAGCUUUAGGGCUAGCCCUGAGCAGGUCCUUAUGGAGGUAGAGCACUGAAUUUCCUAGGGGGCGUCAAAGCUUACCGAAGAAUAUCAAACUCCGAAUGCCAUGUAGGAAGCUGACAGGAGUCAGACUGUACGAGAUAAGUUGGACAGUCGAGAGGGAAAGAGCCCAGACCCACGGCUAAGGUCCCAAAGUGUGUGUUAAGUGGAAAAGGAUGUGGGAUUUCGAAGACAACUAGGAUGUUGGCUCAGAAGCAGCCAUCCAUUCAAAGAGUGCGUAAUAGCUCACUAGUCGAGAGGUCCUGCGCCGAAAAUGUCCGGGGCUAAAACACACCACCGAAGCCUGGGAAUGUUAUACAUAAGUAUAACAUUGGUAGGGGAGCAUUGUCAUCACGAAGAAGCGUCACCGUAAGGAGGCGUGGAGAGAUGAGAAGAGAGAAUGCCGGAAUGAGUAGCGAGAGGAAGGUGAGAAUCCUUCCGGCCGAAUAUCUAAGGUUUCCAGGGUAAAGCUGAUCUGCCCUGGGUAAGUCGGGGCCUAAGGCGAGGCAUAAAAGCGUAGUCGAUGGACAACAGGUGGAGAUUCCUGUACUAUGAGUAAACAGAACUGUGGGGACGCAUGUGUAAGAAGCAAGCCGGGAAUGAGAAAACCGGUACAAGCGUAGUAGGUGGUAUGCUGGAAAAGCCGUAUAUCAAACUGAUGACGUUACGUGGACCGAAAUAAAGUAGGGAAGUGCAAGGAGCAUGUGCCGAGAAAAGCCGCUAUUGUUUUACUGAUACCCGUACCGUAAACCGACACAGGUGGAUGAGGAGAGAAUCCUAAGGCCGACGAGAGAAGCAUUGUCAAGGAACUCGGCAAAAUGACCCCGUAACUUCGGGAGAAGGGGUGCCACAGAGAUGUGGCCGCAGAGAAUAGGCUCAAGCAACUGUUUAGCAAAAACACAGGUCUAUGCGAAACCGAAAGGUGAAGUAUAUGGGCUGACGCCUGCCCGGUGCUGGAAGGUUAAGAGGAGAAGUGAGAGCUUUGAAUUUAAGCCCCAGUAAACGGCGGCCGUAACUAUAACGGUCCUAAGGUAGCGAAAUUCCUUGUCGGGUAAGUUCCGACCCGCACGAAAGGCGUAAUGAUUUGAGCACUGUCUCGACAAUGCACUCGGUGAAAUUGAAGUACCAGUGAAGAUGCUGGUUACCUGCGCCAGGACGGAAAGACCCCAUGGAGCUUUACUCCAGCUUGAUACUGGGAUUCGGUGUUGUAUGUACAGGAUAGGUGGGAGACUAUGAGAUUGGGACGCAAGUUUCAAAGGAGUCAAUGUUGGGAUACCACCCUUGCAGCACUGGGUUCCUAACCUACAGCCGUUAUCCGGCUGGGGGACAAUGUCUGGCGGGGAGUUUGACUGGGGCGGUCGCCUCCGAAAGAGUAUCGGAGGCGCUCAAAGGUUCCCUCAGAAUGGUUGGAAACCAUUCGAAGAGUGCAAAGGCAGAAGGGAGCCUGACUGUGACACCGACGGGUGGAGCAGGUACGAAAGUAGGACUUAGUGAUCCGGUGGUAUAAAGUGGGAUUGCCAUCGCUCAACGGAUAAAAGCUACCCUGGGGAUAACAGGCUUAUCACUCCCAAGAGUUCACAUCGACGGAGUGGUUUGGCACCUCGAUGUCGGCUCAUCGCAUCCUGGGGCUGUAGCAGGUCCCAAGGGUUGGGCUGUUCGCCCAUUAAAGCGGUACGCGAGCUGGGUUCAGAACGUCGUGAGACAGUUCGGUCCCUAUCCGGCGCAGGCGAAGGAGAUUUGAGAGGAGCUGUCCUUAGUACGAGAGGACCGGGAUGGACGGACCGCUGGUGUACCUGUUGGUAAUCAAUACCAUAGCAGGGUAGCCAAGUCCGGAAGGGAUAAACGCUGAAGGCAUCUAAGCGUGAAGCCCCCCUCAAGAUGAGAUAUCCAAGUUAAAUUUAUUUGACAUGAGACCCCUUAGAGAGUAUGAGGUAGAUAGGAAUGAGGUGUAAGCACAGCAAUGUGUUAAGCUGACA
rnacentral:rRNA from 1 species